CCUGAAAUCAACUAGCCCUGAAAAUGGAUGGCGCUGAGCGUGACGCUCAUACCCGGCCAUCAGCGGCAGUGAAGUACGCCUCGACAAGUAGGAGGGACGCCGUGGUGAGCAACAAAGCGAUGGCCGAGAGGCUGUGCGAAGCCGCCUCGGGCCCAGAUCUUGGUGGCAAAUACUCAAGUGAGAGCCUUGAGGGUUCCAUGUGAACAGCCGUUGCACAUGGGUCAGUCGAUCCUAAGGUCUAGGGUAGUCCUGCUCCGAGAGGCAGUGCCCACCUCGCUUGUAGGUAAGCGCUCCUGACUGAAAGGGAAUCGGGUUAAUAUUCCCGAACCUGAAGGUGGAGCCCGCCGCCAGCAGAGUCAGAGCUGUAAAGCUAUGGAGCCUGGAGAUGCUGACCGAAGCCCCAGGAAGAGUUGUCUUUUCUUUGUAAGGGGUGUGGCUCCGGAGUUGCACCGGUCGGCUCCUGAAAAUCUGGGGGACGAGUGUGGACUCUCACCUCAGAUCGUACCCAUAACUGCAGCAGGUCUCCAAGGUGAACAGCCUCUGGUCAAUGUAGGUAAGGGAAGUCGGCAAGCCGGAUCCAUAACUUCGGGAUAAGGAUUGGCUCUGAGGACUGAGUUGGUCAGGCCGGGGCUGGUAGGCACGGACCCUCAGUGUGACUGAGCGAGCCGUUUCGAGGCCUGCCUUUGCAGGCGGCGCCGAAGGGCUGGCGAACCCGGACUUUGCAUUGGGUCUGGCUUGUGGACUGUCCUAGCUGCAUGGCAGCUUUGUGCCGUCGCCUCGGCCGGCG
rnacentral:rRNA from 1 species